rnacentral:sRNA from 1 species
GGUUCUAAUUUAGAUUUUACAAGUUAGUGUACCCGACUCAUCAAAAGAUACCCUAUUUAUUUAGAAUCCAGCAUAUGCAAAAUUAAAUAUAUGUAUGUUUGUAUAGUUGUGACUUCUGAUCUUAUAUAAUUGGCGCAUGAUGACCAUGGGCGUCUCAGGGAUGCUCUGUGCCCACGACCCUAACUUUUUUGAAGUGGAUUCCUGCCAUUAUAACUCUGCCUCCCCAUUAUUUUGAUACGGGAAUACGGUUUAUGGAAUAGCUGCUUUUGCUAACCCCAACUAUGGCGGUGCCUACAUAUAUUGGGUUAUAUUGGACUACUGCACCAUGAAAGAGUGACACUGAAAAAAAUAUUGAAAAAUCAAAAGAAUAAUACACUCUUGCGAAAUAAUUUUCGACACCUUUUCGGUACUCGAAACGCCGAUGAAAAAAGGGCGCUAUUCCUCGGAUGUAACUUCGUGGAGCUAUGGCAUCAGGAAACUGGCGGAGUGACGAGAUUGGGAAACCCCACCAUUACAUAGGGAAGCACAUAGAAAAAAUUCGUCAAAUUAAAAAACGAGUAAAUUGCCAGACCUAUGGAAACCGGAAGCGGGCGGAGUGGGGAGAUUUGGAAACCAAAAUGAUUUGGUAUACCUGUGGCCACAUUUCGCAAGCCACAAGCGACAAUCUUCUUAGCGCAACUGUAUUGAAUCAGGACAUUAUCCAUGUCAAAAUAAGCGAAUUUCAUAUUUCAUUAUGGUAUAUACCGAAUCCCUGACUGUCAAUCCUAAGAAGUCAUCAUACUAGACGAAGCCAUCGAAGCAAUGAGAUUGAAUGAUAUUUAUUUAACAUUCCGUCCGAUGUUAAAGGCUUGUGGUCCCCCUAAUAAAAUGCAUAUCAUCAAAAAGUUAUAUAUUUAUUAAA